rfam:Schistosoma haematobium scaffold325_34, whole genome shotgun sequence.
AUCCAGAUGACCAGUUCCAAAUAGGACGAAAUGCUUAUCCUAGAU